GCCCGGAUGGCGGAAUUGGUAGACGCGCUGGUCUCAAACACCAGUAGGUUCACCCCUGUGCCGGUUCGAUCCCGGCUCCGGGUA
rnacentral:tRNA from 1 species